CGGUCUACUUCCGGAAAAUUUGCAUUAAACUAGCAAGUGAGCUUUAUUCUCUGUACAAUUCUUAAGACUUCUUGCCAAGUUAAGUAAACAGAAAUGGUCUUUUUGAUUACUUUUGUGACUUGUUUGACUAUCUAAGGCCGGUCCUUUAGAUAGUGGGUUUUGGACGUGUCAAAUAGAUGGCGUGAAAUAUUGUGUUGAUAUGUGCUUAUGGCGGCUCGUUGUCAACAGUUCAGCUACAGCUAUUUUCUUCAAAAAUUACCGCUGAAUUCGUUGGAGAAAAUGUGAAAGGGGCAUGCAGGCUACUGUCAACUAUUGUGUUGUAAAUCCUGGGAUCCCACUGAAUGUGUCAUCCAAAUGACAGAGGAUUCAUCAUAAUUAUCGACUGAUUCUUUUAGACUUGCUA
rnacentral:lncRNA from 1 species